rnacentral:rRNA from 1 species
UACGUAGGGUGCGAGCGUUGUCCGGAAUUAUUGGGCGUAAAGGGCUCGUAGGCGGUUUGUCACGUCGGGAGUGAAAACUCACGGCUCAACUCUGGGCCUGCUUCCGAUACGGGCAGACUUGAGGUAUGCAGGGGAGAACGGAAUUCCUGGUGUAGCGGUGAAAUGCGCAGAUAUCAGGAGGAACACCGGUGGCGAAGGCGGUUCUCUGGGCAUUACCUGACGCUGAGGAGCGAAAGCGUGGGGAGCGAACAGG